CCUACUCGAGGCCAGGGCUGCAAAUGAGGCCUGUUUGAAGGGAAGGCCGCAAGCACCGCCGGCCCUUUCCCCUUGCCUUCUGCCUGGAGGGAAGAGGGCAGCCCUGGGCUCAAUGGCUGCGGGGCCAAGAGAACCAGGGCCCUGGACUCAUCGGAUCCAUUUACUGCUGAAACGAAAAAGCAGAACAAGGUUGCCUGAACAUGAAAGCUUGGGUGACAUCUGGAGUCAGGAAAUCAGUGACACCUGUAUGUUUUUUUACAUCCAUGACCACCAAACUGUGAGACACCUACUGUUGCUCAGCAACCAUGGCCCUUCUCUCAGAUUAAUUCACAUCACUUGGCAAACGACAAGGACUAUCUGGAAUAACAAGCCUGGAAAACCAUAAGUAACCCUGCUUCUGCAUAUAGACUAAGUCCUCCAUUGAAUCAAGGGACUCAGAACGGAUUACAGAAUACACAUACAAGGCAAACAUUUAAUCCCUAUUAUACAGUGAAGCAACGACAUAUGAUACACAGACAAAGGUAAAGGUCUUCCCCCUUUUUUCAUCUCUGACGCCUGGAGGUGAUACUCAACUCUGGCCAUGAGGAGGUGCUCUUCUUCCAUUUUUCCAUGCUGAGGAGCCUGUUGUCCAUAGACCUAUUGAUCUACUCACAUUGCAUGCUUUCAAACUGCUAGGUUGGCAGAAGCUAGGGCUGACAGUCAGGAGCUCACCCCGACUCACAGCUUUGAACUGCCAACCUUCCAGUCAGUAGAUUUCAUGCAGCUAGCAGUUUAACCCACUGCACUACUGAGGCCUCUUUUUGAACCAAAAUACUGACUCAUAAACUAAAUAAAAAAGCUGAAGCCCAUUUCAUUUCAGUGUUUGAAAUUUCUGUUUGAAAACACUCUAGCAUUUAUCUGUUUAUCUGGUUUUGAACUGGUGUCUGCUUGCCGGUGCCACAGGAAUUUAAUCCUCUCCCAUCUUCCUUCUUUAUUACUCCAAAGCUUACUCCAGAAAGCUUCCCAGCCUACUUUUGUUUAUGGAAGCCUUUCUUUUGGUGGAACAACCUGAAUGGAUCCUGGAUCCACUCUUGAAAAUGCUGUUUUUGUGGGAGCCCUGAAACUCUAAUUCAUUAUACUGCCAUUCUUCUUGUUUUCAUAUUCUUGAAUGUGAAGAAAGGGGUUUGUGACUGUUAAUAAAUCAAAGAGCUUAAUGCCUGAAAUGCAUAUUUGAUUUAUGCCCUAGCUUUUUUGACAACUCAGUAUACACAAAUGUUAAUAUUACAUUGUGCGCCAACAGCACAGCAAUAGCCAUAACCCAAGUGGGAAGACGCAUCAUGUACCUUUCUCAUCUGAAAAAAUGCAAACGUGAUCUGAUCUUUUCACCUCUGGUUGUGUAAUUAAACAAAACAUAAAUAAUUGAAUUCUUCCAGAAGGAUCAAUGAAAGCUACCCUUCACCACAUCUAAUGAUCUGCUGUGUUCUCAUAGCUAUCUCUUGAUUAAAGAAAUUGUGUAAUAAAUUAUUAUGAUAUUAGAUGCAAGGUUGAAAUACUUUGGCCACAUCAUGAGAAGACAGGAAAGCUUGGAGAAGAGAAUGAUGCUGGGGAAAUGGGAAGGAAAAAGGAAGAGGGGCCGACCAAGGGCAAGAUGAAUGGCUGUUAUCAUUGAAGUGACUGGCUUGACCUUGAAGGAGCUGGGGGUGGCCAUGACCUACAGCUGUGGCGUGGGCUGGUCCAUGAGGUCACGGAGUUGGAAGCAACUGAACAAAUAAACAACAGACUUACUAUGUUCUACUUCCCUGAUCCAGCAGAAUUUUAAAGCAAAAUGUUAUUAUUGUAGUGCUGGGGAUCAAAAGUAAUGCAUACAAAGAGUUACUCAGUUGUGGAGUUCCUCCAUAUAUUGAUUAUAAAGAAUUUAGAGUUGAGCUUUUGCCUUUGUUAAGAUAUUCCGUAACAAGAUACAACCCCCACGGACUGUGCAUCGAGAAUAUGCCAAACAAAUAUCUCUUCCAUAAUUAAUCGAAGAUCUUUUGUUGUCAAAUCUUAUCCAAUGAAA